AACGAACGCUGGCGGCAGGCUUAACACAUGCAAGUCGAGCGCCCCGCAGGGGGAGCGGCAGACGGGUGAGUAACGCGUGGGAAUCUACCCAUCUCUACGGAAUAACGCAUGGAAACGUGUGCUAAUACCGUAUACGUCCUUCGGGAGAAAGAUUUAUCGGAGAUGGAUGAGCCCGCGUUGGAUUAGCUAGUUGGUGGGGUAAAGGCCUACCAAGGCGACGAUCCAUAGCUGGUCUGAGAGGAUGAUCAGCCACACUGGGACUGAGACACGGCCCACACUCCUACGGGAGGCAGCAGUGGGGAAUCUGAGACAAUGGGCGCAAGCCUGAUCCAGCCAGGCCGCGUGAGUGAUGAAGGCCCUAGGGUUGUAAAGCUCUUUCACCGGUGAAGAUAAUGACGGUAACCGGAGAAGAAGCCCCGGCUAACUUCGUGCCAGCCGCCGCAGUAAAAC
rnacentral:rRNA from 1 species